UACGUAGGUGGCAAGCGUUGUCCGGAUUUAUUGGGUUUAAAGGGUGCGUAGGCGGCCUAUUAAGUCAGUUCUGAAAUAUCCCGGCUCAACCGGGAGGGUGGGAUUGAUACUGAUGGGCUUGAGUAGAGUCGAGGUAGGCGGAAUUGACGGUGUAGCGGUGAAAUGCUUAGAUAUCGUCAAGAACACCGAUAGUGUAGACAGCUUACUAGACUCAAACUGACGCUGAGGCACGAAAGUGUGGGGAUCAAACAGG
rnacentral:rRNA from 1 species